rnacentral:rRNA from 1 species
UACGAAGGGGGCUAGCGUUGUUCGGAAUCACUGGGCGUAAAGGGUGCGUAGGCGGGUCUUUUAAGUCAGGGGUGAAAUCCUGGAGCUCAACUCCAGAACUGCCUUUGAUACUGGCGAGCUUGAGUUCGGGAGAGGUGAGUGGAACUGCGAGUGUAGAGGUGAAAUUCGUAGAUAUUCGCAAGAACACCAGUGGCGAAGGCGGCUCACUGGCCCGAUACUGACGCUGAGGUGCGAAAGCGUGGGGGAGCAAACAGG